AACUUUAAUGAAUACAUUCGACCAAGUUUUAGAAGAAAGAAACUCUUAUUACUCUCAGUGCAUGGAAAAUUCUGGAACUUUGACUCCUCGACCCGAUUGGUCACAGCUUUCUCCUUAUUUGACAACUGGACAAGAUAGUUGGUCAAAACUGAUCCACGAAAAAACUAGUGCUGAAGUUUUUUCGCUAUUAAUAUCUGAAUUAUCGAAUCAAAAAUUUAAAGUAGAUGAACCCGAAGGCCUGGGGACAUCGAAAUAUAAUGGGAAAAUAAAACCUAUUGAAAUUUUAGAAAGUGAGAUAAAUACAAUUUUUGCCGGUUUUUGGAAA